CUCAUACCUAACUAGCUUGGAGAGCUGGGUUUGUAGAUCCAACUGUGUUUUGCAGUCUGGCAGCAAGAAAGUCUGGGUUUCCACUUCAUGUUAUUUUCUUCUAAUGGUCAAAGAGAGUACUCCAAGAUCCAGAUGCAAGGGUGCAGAAAUACUUACCUGCUGUAAAGAGAAUUUAUAGAGGUCUCAGACCUCCCCUCUCCCCAACAUAACAGUCUGAUCCACAUCACAGCUUGAACUCUGUCAAGCACAACACAGGGGAUCAUUGGCAAAGUAAUAUCCAAAAACUGUGUUCUGCCUGGCAGAGUAAUAGAUUGGGAACAUCUGCAAUUAAAUAUCUGGAAGAAAUAAUUUAAAUAGAGAAAGAUAACUGGAACUUCGAACAAAGGACUAAAGUUGUAUUCUACUCCUUACCAUGGUGGUUUGACCAACUGAAUCUUCCUAAUUUAUCUUUAAUGAUUGCUUAUGUAAUUUUUUUUCUACAAUUUUAUUACAAUUUAUGAUCUAUCUUGCUUUCUCACAGGAUAAAAAUUAUAACCUUCACAUUUAUGCUUUAGUUAAUGUCCUUGGCAUUUCUAUUGCAGCUGGGGAAAAGCGGACUGAAGCUAGUUCAUGUACACGCCUAGAGAAAAGCAUAUUACUUGCCCCACAGAAUGCCUGCUGAUGGUGGUAACAGAUGAAUAAGAUAAAAGUGGAACAUAGGUUGGGAGAGACAAACUGCCAAAAUACAAGUGUGUUCACAGUUUUUAGCUAAUCAAGAGUAGCAGUAGUACUUCCCUUACUUGCCUAAUCAUGAUUAGGUUUUUUGUCAUGCCAGUUUUCUGUUCUUGUAGCAGAAGAGGUAAAUUUCAAGCCUGUGAUUUGAAGGAGGCUGAGGGGAGUGACAGUGUUUUCAUAAAGUUUUACCAGGCAGGCCUACAGACCAACUUCUGUCUGUAGUUCACCAAACUGUACAGUAAUGUUUUUUUUCUUCCCACAGUGCCAUGAAAAAACUUCUGGCUUCAGUUCAUGUGUGAAACCUUUUGCACAACAAAAGUGGUUUCUUGUGGCCAGUAAGACUAAAUGUUCUAAGUACUCCAGGAAGUGUAUAAAUGGAUUGGUGCCCUUCCUAGGUUUAUGGAGCCUUCUUUCUUUCUUUUUUCUCUCAUUCUUUUUUUUUUUUUUCUCAGUUAUGCUCUCUUCAUCUAUGCUAAGUCCAAGCAGAGUACAGUUUGAAAAUCCUGACUAUCAUUUUCCCUUUUUCUUGUGUUUUCCUUAGUUAUAUUUUAUGAAAAGAACUUGUUUCAGUAAAUGCAACCUAGUAAAUUAUCUUAAAUUACUUCUUAAAGUCCAGGCUAGUAUUAUAACAUGAAAAUUGUUACUUAGAGUCUCCCACGCCCCCAGCUGCUGCAGACCUAUGUCUCCAGGCUGGGGAGAAGCUGAGCACAGCUCUUCCCCAGCAGAGUCUGCAGGCCAAUCCACAAUGUGGAAAGCAGAGUUUACAAAAAAAACUAUUUCUCAUCCUUCCUUCACAAUCCUGCCAGAUUCUGUUGUAGUGAUGGUCAAAACCAACUAAAAUGGUGAUUUUAUACUGAUGGGUAGGCAUAUGUCUAUGUGGAAACCAGAUGAGAAACUGUUCAAGCCAAAAACAUUAAAUCUCAGCUCAUCUCAGGAUACCAGAAAACAGCCAUCCCAUUUCUUUGAUCUAUGAUAUUUGACUCCCAGUGUGUGUUAAUAAGACAUAUAUGUUGGGCAUUGGCAUUUUCUCCUGUUGAACAAGGGUAAACAUUGCAUUUGUCUCUGUAAAAAUAUACUUCAAUAGCUGGGAGAAAAGUGGAGAUUUGUUAUUUUUGCAGUUGUAGAAGACAUUUAGCAGCUGUGUUUAUACUGGCAGACAAUUUGGAUAUUAGGUGGCAGGACAGAAAACUGCAGAUGUACAAUAUUGUGCAGACAUUGUGCACUUACAGUCCAUUUCCAGGGAAACAUGUUAUUUUAUAUUUCCCUUGGUUUCAUUAAUCACAUUUCAUGAUGUAUCUCACUAUUUCAACCCAUUCCCCUAGAUUCAUUCUUUUUUUGGCCUGUUUGUAGUAGUUAUUGAUCUCUAUUUUAAGAAAUUCCAUCUCAACUACAGAUAAUUAAGUUCUUUUUUGCUCCAAGAAAGAAAAUUAAGAUGGCCCUACAGUGAGUACUGAGACUACCUGUACCAAUUGGCAUGUCUACCACAUCAGGAAGAUAUUUAGUCUGCUUUUGGUCAGAAAAGGAUUCAUACUCUUCCUUGGUAUUUAAGAAUUAAACUCAUUUCCUGAAAGUAAAAAUGUAUUUCUCAUCUUCACCUACAAGGGGAAACAGCUGCUCUUUUCUCUGUUCUUGAAGUUCUCUAAUCCCUUAACAGGCUUUGUUUUGGUUUUACAGGUGAAUCCCUUAAACUAUAGCAAUGAUGGCCCAUCUGCUGGGAGAAAUGCGCUGAUAUAAACAGUGUUAGAGGGCUGAGAGCCUGAGGAACCUCAGUGUAUGGGAUGUAUGCCCAGGCCUUUUUUUGGCAUUAGCUCUACAUUUAAAUAAUGGCAUUAAGGGUUCCUGAAUAAAUUUGGCUUGUAAGUGCUGCUGUGGGUGCCCUUUGAGCCACCUCACCCUGGAAGGGUCACCUGGUGUCACUGUGCUUCUCCUGUAGCUCCCUCGCCCAUGGGCAACCCUCCUGCUGCGCUGUCUGGGGACAGACCAUGUAUCUGUUUCCUAUAUGGUUGUCUGGGUGUGCUGGAGAGAAGUUAAAAAGGAAAAGAGCUUGUGCCAAACUUUUGAUCGUCUUUGUCUGAAGAACUGGCUGUGCAGGAGCUCUGGCCUCGGAGGUGGGAACAAAAGACCUGCCAGGCACACUUUGUCCUGGCUUAGUCUGAGUGUCAUGCUAGGUAAGGUUUUUUUGUCUUGGGGAACAGAGAAAAGGAGUUCUACUGACCUCUAAAUAGAAGCAAACCCAAAGAAUUCACUACACAGAGAAUUAAUGAGUUAUCCAAGAUGGCAUGAUCAGCAGAUUGCUUAAAAAACCACAAGCCCAGCCCACUGCUUCUUCUUGUGACUGGUUCAGAAUGCUAAAUAUAACCUGGCAGUAUUUUUCUUAGGGAUAAAUGAAAAACAGACAAAAAUGGGGUCUGUUUAUGCUAUAUGCCUUAGCCACACCUAAGGAAAUGCAACUUGUUUUCAGCCUUUUUGUUUGGAGGAUAUCUGUAAGGAGGCUCUGUCCACCAUAGUGAAAGUAGCAAACGGGUGUAUAAGCACUGUCCUCAUGUUGCUGUGAGCUGUAUGGAAAGAGAUGGCCCAAGGCACCAGAGAAGACAGGGUAGAUUCUUGGCAGUGCUCAGCAAUUUUCAGAAUACUAAAAUCUCAAAAAGAGCUUUACUUCCAGGAAGGUCACAGAGUUUGGAUUUGGGAGGAGAGGACUCUGAUGAUCACAUUUUUUUUUCUAGAAACCAGUAACAUAUAUUUUGUAUACUCUCAAAGAGUAAGUGGUUUACAAAAGAACAUUGGAAGCUGGUGACAGAACUGGAAAAUUAAUACAGCUCUGGGAAAACUGAUACAAGUGCCUUAGUCUAAAAGUCAUUUAUACAAAGAAAAUAAAAUGUCACUAUCAUUCAUGCUCUUGUGGACCCUGUGAUUUUGCCUUCUCUAAAAUGCUUGCUGAUCAUUUCCUGUGAUCUUUUUCCCUGUGAUCUUUUCCAUGUCCCAUUCUCCCUCUUUCUGUAAUAUCCAGGUGCAGUUUUUCUUAUGUGAUGAUGCUUAUACAACUGAUGCUUAACACAACCAAUUAGAAGCUGUCUCUGAGCAAGCAACACAGGCAGAAGACUGGAACUACGACCAUUUGCCAACCUACUCCCCACAUAUACAGUAUGAGGGGAAUGGAAGUUGGAACUCUACUGGAAGUAUGCAAUGGCACAUCCUAAAAAUAGAAGUGCAACAGGUAUGCCCGUCAGAUGGUCACAGUCUUACCCAUAUCCUUACCUGAAUGAAAUUAUCUGGAAAUGUUGCUUUUCAAGCGAUAGUUAGAGAAAGAGUAAGCAGAGAAGGAAAAAACCUAGUAGGAAUGUAUGGGAUGAGCAGGAGGAAGUAAAUGAAAAUGCUGAUUUUUACAUUUUCUAGUUCUUACUCUGUUUGCACCCAAAAGUGGACAACUUGCCAGGAAAAUAUGAUUGCUAGCUCUAAUCAUUCAAAUAUUUGUGAGGAAUGCUGAUUAUAUAACAACCCUAAGAGUCUGAAAGAGCACAUUUCUUUGAACUGUGCAGUUGAAAUGGGCUGGUUAAACAAUAAUAGUAAUUAAUAUAAUUUGCUAAAAAAAAAGGACAUUCAUCCACCAGUCUAUUUUACAUUAGUAGAGGAAAAAUUGCAAUAUGUUACGAUCACAGGACACUAAAUAAACAGUAAACAACUGUAUUCCAGUUUUUACAAGCUGGAAAGUCAAAGCAGAAAAAUGUGAAGCUGGCCACCCUUUGAAGGCAGUUCCAGGAAAAAAAAAAUCAGGAUCAUUGUGUUAUUUUUGUCUUGUGGUAAUGCUCAGAAGUUCUUUUUCUGAGGCAGCACCCCCAUCAAGAAAUAUGCAUAACUUCAUAUGAUGCACAGAAUAAGUAAAUAGUUCUAAGCCCACUUAAAUAAACAUCUUCGAAAAUUUCAGUCUGAGGUCAGCUAAUGGUAGGAAGCUAUUUUUCUUCUCACUCUUUCUUUGUUUUAUUCCAAUCUAACAGGAUACUAUAGCUUAUGACAUAUGGUCCCUUAAAUUAGGCACUCCAAACCUUGUUCGUUCAUCUCAGUGUGUGAAGCCAAGUUGUCUAUUAAUAGGAAAAGCCUUGCCCUGGAAAAAUGUCUAUGUACCAGUCUCUGCAUUGGGGAAAUGAAGAAUAUGCUACAACAGGAAAUAAAAUUAAUUUAAUAUGUAUUAUGGAAAGAACCACUCUAAUGUAAUACUGCCAAACAAAGUGGAGAAGUGCUGUUAAAUCUUUACGUCUCAGAGGUGUGGUGCAUUUAGCAACUUGAUGUCUGUGUUAUUCAGCAUACUGAGUUUCCAGAGUCAUCUCCAAGUUGUAAUGGACAAUGUCUCCUCAGCUUUGGAAGCUGAAGAAUAAACCGAGACCACCAGCUAAGAUGUUAUGUAAUUGCCAUGGAUAUGAGCAUUGAAUGACCUCAGGUGCUGUGUUUAAAUGAAAAGAUUUAGUCAAAACCAAAAAGAGUUGCAUGUAAAAAGGAUUUGUUAGCAAGUCAUUUUUUCUCUUAUAAGAUAGAAAUUUUAAAGGAAUGCUACAAUGAAAAAUGCUGACACAAAACAAUGCCAUUAGAAACACCCAAUAAAAUUCCCACCUUCCCAUGCAACAUGCUUAGUUUAAGUUUAAAACAACCAUUAAAAAAAUUGUCUUAUGGAAGCAAGUUAUAGAACUUAGAGAUUGUUACUGUGUAAGAAUUAAUAUAUUUGUAUGUAAUUACCAAGCUCUUUUGAUGAUUUCAAUAGCCAUUCCUCUGCUUUUGAAAAAUGCAAUUUUGCAGCAUGCUUCCAUACAUCGUAGCACUGCAGAGAUCAUUUGCCUAGCCCAUCACUUUGGCUGUCAAAUGUAACACCCUUUUUCUAUCAGAUAUAAGCAGCUUGUCUUCACCUUCAAAGCCUGCACCUCAUCCUACCUAUCAUCUCUCAUGCAGGAUCAAGAAAUCACUUUUUUCACUGAUUAGCCCAUGAUGCCAGCCUCCUUCAUUGACUUCUUGAAUUUUCAGUCGCUCAGUCUGAAGCUUUAUCCCAUGCCAUUCCUUACAUUUGGAAAGUGCUGCUUCAGACAUCUGUAAAGCUACCUCCUUAUCUUCCUUCUAAUCCUGUCUGUGAGGUUCCCCUGCCAUUAUGCCUUCAAAAGAAGUUUCAGAGUUUGGACUGAAUUUGCCUAGUUAUAAUGAGCUGUUGCCAAAAAAAAAAAAAAAAAAGAUUUCUGGAUCAGCUUCACAUGGAGCCCUCCCAAAGAUCUGAAGGUUGGUAUUUCCUACUCAGAUGCUGCACUGUCAAUUCUACAUGGUUACUGGUGCCUCAUUUUUCAGAGGAUGUUGCCUUGCUGUUGUUGGGCAGAAAUAUCUUUCCAUUUGAAAACAUGGGAUGAAUGGGUGACCUGUCUGGAUGUAGGAGUGACAUCUGAAACAAGGGGAUAAUCUAGAGGGGGCCUCGGCCUUUUCCUUCACAUGACAAGUGUUUAAGAUACUAUUUAUAUUGAUUAAAUGAAAGAAUCUUCCUGCUGCUGGACACGGGCAUAAGAAAUUGUGCUGUACUUAUGUGGAAAGACUGAUGGGAAAUUUUUAGUUUUGGUGACCAGUCUGGGGGAAGUUGGGGGCAGAAUAUUGCCUUUGGCUUGUUCAAAUUUCUGUUGUGGAAAGAAUGAGUGGUCACAAGAAGCAGUGUAUUUCACUGGGUCACCAUCUCAGAUGAGAAGAUUUUGCUUUGAAGCAAUUACAUGUGCAGCCUGUGGCCUUGAACACAUUUUCAUUGUGUGUUGUGUUUGUAUUCCCAUCUCCAGCAGCACUGACUCAGGACCAACUCAUCCCUUUACAGGAAUUACCUACAAAGGAAACUGGAAAGUCCAUGCCAUCUCUGUCAUCCUUCCCUCCAGAUGGUGCUUCCAAAUCCCUUCUGAAGGUGAUUGUGCAAACCAGCAUAAUAUCUAAGAUCUGUCUUUGCUGAACAGCUCAACAAGAAAUGUUCACAGCUCCAACCAGUAGAAAUUAAUACCAGAGACAGAAAUCCUAUCACUGAAGCCAUGGAGGAAGACACACACUCCAGUCUUGACCAUUGAACCACUGUGAUUUAAUUAUGCAAAACUGGGGUUGAAGAUUCAAGAUAUUGCUCAGAUUGUUCUGCAAUAAACUCUUCUGAUUCAGCAGUGUCAGCAGGAAGGAGCCCAAGGAUGCCAAACUAACCCAACCUCUGCAGCCAGUUGGGCCAUCACAUGAAAGCAGGAUUCUUGCUUCUCAAUCACUCAGCUCUGUUGUCCAGGUCGAAGCAGGAGUUGAUGCGACACAGAAAGACAAGCCAAGGAGACCUUGCUCAGGUUUCCUUACAUUCCAAAAAAAGAGCCCAGGUCACUAGCUUGGAGUAAUUUGAAGUUAAUCUCCCACUGACACCUUCAAGCUUGAAAGCUUCAUGAGCACCUCUGCUACACCCCUCAAGAAAAUUACCUGAACAAAGCUGUCCAAACAUGGUAUGUCUGUGAUUCCAUUUCCCCCUGCACUGUGGAGCUGGAUUCAUGUCACCGGGUCACUUGUGCUGUGUCCAGUCCAGCUGAACCCUCCAAAGAUGGAGAUUCUGCAAGUUCUGCUGAGUGCUGAUUGCUGCAAUGCAUUGAAUUCAACUGCCGAGGGCUCAACAGGUGGUGCUGGGAUAAAGUUCUGGCAAAUCAAAUAGGUAAUGUGGUUAUUUCUUUUGUCAAAUUAUAAUUGAAAACAGAGACGAGUAAAAUGAAACUCACAUUUUCCUAGUGCAAAAAAGAGACUAGAAUUAUACUCAAAUCAGUUUCCAUGACAAAUACACAUUACUACUGGAGCUUGGUCUGUAAAUAAACAUGCAACACCUUAGUUUUGAUGUAGAAUGAUUUUUUUUUCUCUGUAAAUUUGUGUUUAAACAUCAGUGUUUAAACAACAACAGAAGACCAGAGUCCUCCAUGAAUCUUCUGUCUUGCUUGUACAUAUUUAGGAGAAAAUAUGCCAAAAGCUUCAGAAAAACUUUGAAAAGAUUUAAAUCUGAAAAGUCAGAGAAUUUGAGACAAUCUGUAAUACAUAACUCAAAUGUUUAACAUCAAGAGUUUCCUGCCAUAUUGUUUUCUAAUCAUUGCUAUAUCCAUGCUCCCAGAAGAAAGUGAUAAAUACACUGGAAAUUUCAGUGAAUGUGCUGAAUGAGGUGCUGCUCAUUUUAUGCUUGACUUGGAUAAUGUUUAUUAAUCCUAAAAUCAUAAAAAUGGGAUAAAACCUUCUAUAACAAAAAUGCAACCAAUUAUAUAUGCAUAUCUUGGUUUUCCAAAAUUGCACAUUAAAAGGCCCACGCACUUCCAGGACUAUCCACUUUGCUAUUGUGGCUGAUCUUUUUUACACCAAGAUGUUUUUAUUUUCCUCUGAGGACCUAUCCAAAUCUAAUAUAAGUAAUCUUAUGUACAGUUCCAAUGAUUAUCAUGGUUUUAUUUUGUUUUUCAUUCCUCCUCAUUUAAAGACAUUUCUCCUAAACUAUACAUUUCUCCACUCAAAGUUUUUUUUCUUGUCAGCUCUGAACCCAUUUUUCACUGGAGCAGCUUCCUGCAGUGGCCUCCAGUUCUUUAGGCUGUCACAAAAUUCUUUAUGUCCCUUUCAAGCUCUUAUUUAACUCAAGGUGCUGCCUUUGUCUGGGACCAGGCGGUGCAUGCUCUUCUUUCAGUAAGUCAUUCCAUAAGUGAUCAGGAACUAAGCAGCAUGGAAAAGGGGUAUCCCAUCAAACCAGAAACAUUGGUAUUUUCACCUUUUGCAUACCAUGGGGAUCUGGUUUAGUCCUAGCAGAAUGCACGCGUUUCUCUCCCAGGCUGUGGCUGUGCUGCUGAGUGCCAGGGCUGUGGUCAGGGGAUGGGACACACCUCACAGAGCGUGGCCUGAGAAACCCCUGAAUACGGCAUCACAAAUUGCUGGAUGUGACAGAUCACAGGGUAAGAAGCUGACAAAUGGACACGUGGUGCUGUGAGGAAUUCCCAGGUGGUUAAGGAGGAGUUUUGUGAGAAACAGCUGAAUUACAGAGAAAGGUAGGGCUCUGUGUUGGGGUUGUUCUGGGAUUUGGGAUAGUGCAAGGCUAACAGUGCUGGGUAACUGUAUCAGCUUACCCAUACACAGCUGAGAUCACCUUGAAAUGGUAUCAGUAAUACAAAAAUAAAAAAUUCAACACCUACAGAAGUUGAAAAUGGAAAAGAGAGUAACUGGAUUCAUAGAGAAAUACUAAAUCCAUUACUCUUUUAUCUGUUGCCUUUUGGCUAGUAAUCAGUUUCAUUUCUUCACACUUUUCAGUAUGAAAAUACCUAGGAACAAGAAGAUAUUUACUGAUAAUAAAGAUCCCAGUUCAACAUGACACUCUUCACAAUCCCACACCUGGACUGACCCUGUUCCAACUUGCUUAAUGCAGGAAAGCUGCACCCAGUUGUUUUAGGAAUUAAUCUGUAGCUUUGCUGUAAGGGACUGGCUCAGAAGGUAAAAAUUUUAUUAUAGCCAAAGUAUUAUUAAGUUCUUUACCCCUUUAAAAAUUCUUUUCCUGCGCUACUGCAUUUCUAGGCUGACCUGAGACAUGCCAUGAGGACAGAUCCCCAGUCUCCAUGAUUUUCAUAAACGUUCAAUACAUAAGAAAAAGUGUUCUGGCUUUACUCUUUUUUUUUUUUUCUUUUAAAUAACCAUC